CAGCAGCCGCGGGAAUACGUAGGUGGCAAGCGUUGUCCGGAAUUAUUGGGCGUAAAGCGCGCGCAGGUGGUUUAAUAAGUCUGAUGUGAAAGCCCACGGCUCAACCGUGGAGGGUCAUUGGAAACUGUUAAACUUGAGUGCAGGAGAGAAAAGUGGAAUUCCUAGUGUAGCGGUGAAAUGCGUAGAGAUUAGGAGGAACACCAGUGGCGAAGGCGGCUUUUUGGCCUGUAACUGACACUGAGGCGCGAAAGCGUGGGGAGCAAACAGGAUUAGAUACCCCAGUAGUCCCUGUCUCUUAUAA
rnacentral:rRNA from 1 species